rnacentral:rRNA from 1 species
AGCUCCAAUAGCGUAUAUUAAAGUUGUUGCGGUUAAAAAGCUCGUAGUUGGAUUUCUGCCGAGGACGACGGGUCCGCCCUCUGGGUGAGUAUCGUCGCUCGUCCUGGGCAUCUUCUUGGAGAACGUAUCUGCACUUCAUUGUGUGGUGCGGUAUCCAGGACUUUUACUUUGAGGAAAUUAGAGUGUUUCAAGCAGGCUUACGCCGUGAAUACGUUAGCAUGGAAUAAUAAGAUAGGACUUCGGUUCUAUUUUGUUGGUUUCUAGAACUUGGAGUAAUGAUUAAUAGGGAUAGUUGGGGGCAUUCGUAUUUAACUGUCAGAGGUGAAAUUCU